rnacentral:rRNA from 1 species
UACGGAGGGUGCAAGCGUUGUCCGGAUUUACUGGGUUUAAAGGGUGCGCAGGCGGAUAUGUAAGUCAGUGGUGAAAUCUCCGGGCUUAACUCGGAAAGGUCAACUGAUACUGUGCGACUAGAGUGCGGAAGGGGCAACUGGAAUUCUUGGUGUAGCGGUGAAAUGCGUAGAUAUCAAGAGGAACACCUGCGGCGAAGGCGGGUUGCUGGGCCGACACUGACGCUGAGGCGCGAAAGCCAGGGGAGCGAACGGG